rnacentral:lncRNA from 1 species
AUAUUGUAUUAUAUCAUAGUAUUAAAAUAAUAAAAUAUAUUACAAUUUUAUUAUUUGAUAAUACUAAUAUCAUACUUUAUAUAUGAUGCAGUAUAUUAUACAAUAUUAUAUAAUAUAAUAUAUUAAUAUAUAUUAUUAUACUAUAUUAUAUUAUAUCAUUAUUAUUAUAUUAGGUGGAUAGGAAAAAUUCUAUCUAUUGAAAAAUAAAUUAUCCAUCUAAAGAAGUAAGAGAAUAUGAGUAAGUUGGUCAACGAGAAUAUUGAACAAUUUUUUCAUGAUAUUCAUUCAUCUCUGGGUUAUCCAAAAAAUAUGAUAGCUAAUAUAUAUAUAUAUAUAUAUAUAUAUAUAUAUAUAUANNNNNNNNNNNNNNNNNNNNUAUAUAUAUAUAUAUAUAUAUAUAUAUAUAUAUAUAUAUUAAAAUAGAGGUAUCUGUAUUGGUAGUACCUUAAUCCGUCACAUGCUGUUUGCCAUGUCUGUUGUGUGUGCAACAAAUAUGGUGGUCAAAAAUACAUGGGUGAGGAUCCCGACAACAGUCUGACCAACGAAUUUGAGGGAAGGCACAAAGAACUCACAAGAGUGGAGGAGAGAUUCCUGGCUGUGGGUGAGGAUCUUGGUGAUGGAGCCACCGAUGGCUUGAUUGAUGGACUCAAGGGAUUCCUGAGUAGCAGCAGCGCCGAUCUUAAGGGAGCACAAAAAAAAAGGUGCCCUGGGGUCAUCCAUGUGCUAGAGCUUCAUCUCUAUGGAGAAGCAGAAGAAAUAGCCAGCACUGAGCCAUGAGAGGGGGUCCAUGGAGGGGUCGAGGUCGACGAUGGGGACAAUGCCAUAGUCUGCCUCCUCCUGACAGUGGGGAUCCGAUUGGAGCUCGAGGGAUUGAACAUGUUGGGGUAGGAGGAGGGAGAGGUCUACCUCUAUGAGACUCUAUACACAUUGGGGGAUGUCGAUGGUGCUAGCUACUUCCAUGGAGUCAUCGUCUGAGAGCGAGGGAGAAAGUCGAGUGUACUCGUUGGUUGGUGUUGAAGGCAAUAAUAGAAGCACAGAGUUGAAGUAACUGAUACAAGACAAGGGC